UCCGGUUUGGCACCGGCAGUCCCUCCAGAGUCCCCGGCCGGAUUAUUCAUCCGCCGCUGGCAACUGGACGCGGGGGUUGCGCUCGUUGCGGGACUUAACCCAACAUCUCACGACACGAGCUGACGACAGCCAUGCAGCACCUGUGCACGGACUCCGAAGAGGGCCCGGUGUUUCCACCAGGUUUCCCGUGCAUGUCAAGCCCAGGUAAGGUUCUUCGCGUUGCGUCGAAUUAAACCACAUGCUCCACCGCUUGUGCGGGCCCCCGUCAAUUCCUUUGAGUUUCAGCCUUGCGGCCGUACUCCCCAGGCGGGGCACUUAAUGCGUUAGCGCCGGCACUCGGAGGGUCGCUCCCCCAAGCACCUAGUGCCCAUCGUUUACGGCGUGGACUAC
rnacentral:misc_RNA from 1 species